CACUAUCAUUAACUGAAUCCAUAGGUUAAUGAGGCGAACCGGGGGAACUGAAACAUCUAAGUACCCCGAGGAAAAGAAAUCAACCGAGAUUCCCCCAGUAGCGGCGAGCGAACGGGGAGGAGCCCAGAGCCUGAAUCAGUGUGUGUGUUAGUGGAAGCGUCUGGAAAGGCGCGCGAUACAGGGUGACAGCCCCGUACACAAAAAUGCACAUGCUGUGAGCUCGAUGAGUAGGGCGGGACACGUGGUAUCCUGUCUGAAUAUGGGGGGACCAUCCUCCAAGGCUAAAUACUCCUGACUGACCGAUAGUGAACCAGUACCGUGAGGGAAAGGCGAAAAGAACCCCGGCGAGGGGAGUGAAAAAGAACCUGAAACCGUGUACGUACAAGCAGUGGGAGCACAGAGCAAUCUGUGUGACUGCGUACCUUUUGUAUAAUGGGUCAGCGACUUAUAUUCUGUAGCAAGGUUAACCGAAUAGGGGAGCCGAAGGGAAACCGAGUCUUAACUGGGCGUUAAGUUGCAGGGUAUAGACCCGAAACCCGGUGAUCUAGCCAUGGGCAGGUUGAAGGUUGGGUAACACUAACUGGAGGACCGAACCGACUAAUGUUGAAAAAUUAGCGGAUGACUUGUGGCUGGGGGUGAAAGGCCAAUCAAACCGGGAGAUAGCUGGUUCUCCCCGAAAGCUAUUUAGGUAGCGCCUCGUGAAUUCAUCUCCGGGGGUAGAGCACUGUUUCGGCAAGGGGGUCAUCCCGACUUACCAACCCGAUGCAAACUGCGAAUACCGGAGAAUGUUAUCACGGGAGACACACGGCGGGUGCUAACGUCCGUCGUGAAGAGGGAAACAACCCAGACCGCCAGCUAAGGUCCCAAAGUCAUGGUUAAGUGGGAAACGAUGUGGGAAGGCCCAGACAGCCAGGAUGUUGGCUUAGAAGCAGCCAUCAUUUAAAGAAAGCGUAAUAGCUCACUGGUCGAGUCGGCCUGCGCGGAAGAUGUAACGGGGCUAAACCAUGCACCGAAGCUGCGGCAGCGACACUGUGUGUUGUUGGGUAGGGGAGCGUUCUGUAAGCCUGUGAAGGUGUGCUGUGAGGCAUGCUGGAGGUAUCAGAAGUGCGAAUGCUGACAUAAGUAACGAUAAAGCGGGUGAAAAGCCCGCUCGCCGGAAGACCAAGGGUUCCUGUCCAACGUUAAUCGGGGCAGGGUGAGUCGACCCCUAAGGCGAGGCCGAAAGGCGUAGUCGAUGGGAAACAGGUUAAUAUUCCUGUACUUGGUGUUACUGCGAAGGGGGGACGGAGAAGGCUAUGUUGGCCGGGCGACGGUUGUCCCGGUUUAAGCGUGUAGGCUGGUUUUCCAGGCAAAUCCGGAAAAUCAAGGCUGAGGCGUGAUGACGAGGCACUACGGUGCUGAAGCAACAAAUGCCCUGCUUCCAGGAAAAGCCUCUAAGCAUCAGGUAACAUCAAAUCGUACCCCAAACCGACACAGGUGGUCAGGUAGAGAAUACCAAGGCGCUUGAGAGAACUCGGGUGAAGGAACUAGGCAAAAUGGUGCCGUAACUUCGGGAGAAGGCACGCUGAUAUGUAGGUGAAGUCCCUCGCGGAUGGAGCUGAAAUCAGUCGAAGAUACCAGCUGGCUGCAACUGUUUAUUAAAAACACAGCACUGUGCAAACACGAAAGUGGACGUAUACGGUGUGACGCCUGCCCGGUGCCGGAAGGUUAAUUGAUGGGGUCAGCGCAAGCGAAGCUCUUGAUCGAAGCCCCGGUAAACGGCGGCCGUAACUAUAACGGUCCUAAGGUAGCGAAAUUCCUUGUCGGGUAAGUUCCGACCUGCACGAAUGGCGUAAUGAUGGCCAGGCUGUCUCCACCCGAGACUCAGUGAAAUUGAACUCGCUGUGAAGAUGCAGUGUACCCGCGGCAAGACGGAAAGACCCCGUGAACCUUUACUAUAGCUUGACACUGAACAUUGAGCCUUGAUGUGUAGGAUAGGUGGGAGGCUUUGAAGUGUGGACGCCAGUCUGCAUGGAGCCGACCUUGAAAUACCACCCUUUAAUGUUUGAUGUUCUAACGUGGACCCGUGAUCCGGGUUGCGGACAGUGUCUGGUGGGUAGUUUGACUGGGGCGGUCUCCUCCUAAAGAGUAACGGAGGAGCACGAAGGUUGGCUAAUCCUGGUCGGACAUCAGGAGGUUAGUGCAAUGGCAUAAGCCAGCUUGACUGCGAGCGUGACGGCGCGAGCAGGUGCGAAAGCAGGUCAUAGUGAUCCGGUGGUUCUGAAUGGAAGGGCCAUCGCUCAACGGAUAAAAGGUACUCCGGGGAUAACAGGCUGAUACCGCCCAAGAGUUCAUAUCGACGGCGGUGUUUGGCACCUCGAUGUCGGCUCAUCACAUCCUGGGGCUGAAGUAGGUCCCAAGGGUAUGGCUGUUCGCCAUUUAAAGUGGUACGCGAGCUGGGUUUAGAACGUCGUGAGACAGUUCGGUCCCUAUCUGCCGUGGGCGCUGGAGAACUGAGGGGGGCUGCUCCUAGUACGAGAGGACCGGAGUGGACGCAUCACUGGUGUUCGGGUUGUCAUGCCAAUGGCACUGCCCGGUAGCUAAAUGCGGAAGAGAUAAGUGCUGAAAGCAUCUAAGCACGAAACUUGCCCCGAGAUGAGUUCU
rnacentral:rRNA from 1 species